CCUCCACAUUGACUCUGUACCGGUACCCCCUGUAUAUAGCCUCCACAUUGACUCUGUACCGGUACCCCCUGUAUAUAGCCUCCACAUUGACUCUGUACCGUAACACCCUGUAUAUAGCCUCCACAUUGACUCUGUACCGGUACCCCUGUAUAUAGCCUCCACAUUGACUCUGUACCGGUACCCCCUGUAUAUAGCCUCCACAUUGACACUGUACCGGUAUCCCCUGUAUAUAGCCUCCACACUGACUCUGUACCGGUACCCCCUGUAUAUAGCCUCCACAUUGACUCUGUACUGGUACCCCCUGUAUAUAGCCUCCACAUUGACUCUGUACCGGUACCCCCUGUAUAUAGCCUCCACAUUGACUCUGUACCGGUACCCCUGUAUAUAGCCUCCACAUUGACUCUGUACCGGUACCCCCUGUACAUAGCCUCCACAUUGACUCUGUACUGGUACCCCUGUCUAUAGCCUCCACAUUGACUCUGUACCAGUACCCCCUGUAUAUAGUCUCCACAUUGACUCUGUACCGGUAACCCCUGUAUAUAGCCUCCACAUUGACUCUGUACCAGUACCCCCUGUAUAUAGUCUCCACAUUGACUCUGUACCGGUACCCCCUGUAUAUAGCCUCCACAUUGACUCUGUACCGUAACACCCUGUAUAUAGACUCCACAUUGACUCUGUACCGGUACCCCCUGUAUAUAGCCUCCACAUUGACUCUGUACCGGUACCCCCUGUAUAUAGCCUCCACAUUGACUCUGUACCGGUACCCCCUGUAUAUAGCCUCCACAUUGACUCUGUACCGGUACCCCCUGUAUAUAGCCUCCACAUUGACUCUGUACCGUAACACCCUGUAUAUAGCCUCCACAUUGACUCUGUACCGUAAUACCCUGUAUAUAGCCUCCACAUUGACUCUGUACCGGUACCCCCUGUAUAUAGCCUCCACAUUGACUCUGUACCGGUACCCCCUGUAUAUAGCCUCCACAUUGACUCUGUACCGAUACCCCCUGUAUAUAGCCUCCACAUUGACUCUGUACCGUAACCCCCUGUAUAUAGCCUCCACAUUGACUCUGUACCGGUACCCCCUGUAUAUAGUCUCCACAUUGACUCUGUACCAGUACCCCCUGUAUAUAGCCUCCACAUUGACUCUGUACCGGUACCCCCUGUAUAUAGUCUCCACAUUGACUCUGUACCAGUACCCCCUGUAUAAAGCCUCCACAUUGACUCUGUACCGAUACCCCCUGUAUAUAGCCUCCACAUUGACUCUGUACCGUAACACCCUGUAUAUAGCCUCCACAUUGACUCUGUACCGUAACACCCUGUAUAUAGCCUCCACAUUGACUCUGUAACGGUACCCCCUGUAUAUAGCCUCCACAUUGACUCUGUACCGUAACACCCUGUAUAUAGCCUCCACAUUGACUCUGUACCAGUACCCCCUGUAUAUAGCCUCCACAUUGACUCUGUACCGUAGCACCCUGUAUAUAGCCUCCACAUUGACUCUGUACCGGUACCCCCUGUAUAUAGCCUCCACAUUGA
ensembl:lncRNA